ACAUCUUGGCUCCAGAUCCCCAAACUGAGUCUUCAACCAUGUGUCUCUUUAGGGAGCUGCGCAGAAGGAGGAAAGAGGAGCAGCAUCCAGAAAGCGGAAAGGGAGAGUCAAGCAGAAGGUGAAGAAGAAGAGCUCCUUGCAAUCGGAGAGCACCGUUGUGGCUGAAGACGAAGGGGGCAAAGGGGCCGCUGGGAGGAACAGCGCAGGAGCCGCCCCUGGCCUCCUCCACAGCAACAAGGUGGCCCAAGGGAAGCCCACGGCUCUGGAAACACCUCCACCACCCACAGGACAACGGGCAAAGCGGAAAAAUAAAAUUCUGAAAAACAAAAUCAAAAGUGAAGAAACGUUACCACCUCAGGCGAAUGAGAACCCGUCAAGUACUUUCGGUGCGUAUUUGUCAAAAUGGAAAGGGAUUUGGUAGGAAGACUUGCGCCAUUUUUAAAAGUGUCUUUUCUCAUUCAGUUUGUUUUGGGAACAUGAAUAACAAGGUUUAUUUAUAAAUGUAUUUGUCCAAAUUGUAAGCAAAUUGUUGUUUCCAUUGUUUAUGAGAAAGAGUGAUACUUUGGAUAUUUGUUGUGGCAAGAUUCUUGUGUUUACAUGAGCUGUGUGAAUCUUUUUUUCCAAUCUACACCUGUCUAUCUGGCAAUCAGUAUUUGUAAAAACUCUAAAAAUCAGGACAGUAAAUAAAGAACAACACUCAGAAAACAGGGGAAUUCCAGACAGGAAACAAUCAGAGCCAAUUAACACCUCCCAACAAAGGAUUCCCCCAGGCAGGAAGCAGCCAAGCUUUGAAGUGCUAAUCAAGGUGGCCAAUUGCAACAUUCACACUUGCCCCAAACAAACAAGAGUUAUUUCUCCCACUCUGGACAUUAUAUAAUAUAAACUCCACUUGCCUAGUUUCCAAUAGACCUCACAACCUCUGAGGAUGCCUACCACAGAUGUGGGUGAAACAUCAGGAGAGAACAUGGCCAUGCAGCCCGGAAAAUUCACAGCAACUCAAUAUCCCACUUAUUAAGAAAUAUGGAUGUUUUUCUUUGUAUUACCAAGAGUUUAAUGACAGGAUGAUGAUAUUGCCCUUCAGUAAAAACCUCCAAAAUGAUUAAGAGUUGUCUACUACCUUUGCUUCUAACAAAUGAAUUAAAGCCUAAAUUUCCUUGGAUUAUAACCAUUUUGGCAGAUGCAUGGAACAUGAUCCAAAAUUUGCAGUGUAUAUAUAUGAUUUGGAAUUAAUGUAUUCUCCGAGCCAGAGGAAAAUUAAACAUAAAAUGUAUAAUAAUUUAGUAUUAUAGGUAUUCAAAUCUCUGGUGACUGACUUCCUA
rnacentral:lncRNA from 11 species